rnacentral:rRNA from 1 species
UACGUAGGUGGCGAGCGUUGUCCGGAAUUACUGGGUGUAAAGGGCGUGUAGGCGGGACUGUAAGUCAGAUGUGAAAUUCCAGGGCUUAACUCUGGAGCUGCAUCUGAAACUAUGGUUCUUGAGUGCUGGAGAGGAAAGCGGAAUUCCUAGUGUAGCGGUGAAAUGCGUAGAUAUUAGGAGGAACACCAGUGGCGAAGGCGGCUUUCUGGACAGUAACUGACGCUGAGGCGCGAAAGCGUGGGGAGCAAACAGGAUUAGAUACCCUGGUAGUCCACGCUGUAAACGAUGGAUACUAGGUGUAGGAGGUAUCGACCCCUUCUGUGCCGGAGUUAACACAAUAAGUAUCCCACCUGGGGAGUACGGCCGCAAGGUUGAA